CUGGCGGCAUGCCUUACCAUGCAACCCGAACGGCAGCACGGGUGCUUGCACCUGUCUGGCGAGUGGCGAACGGGUGAGUAAUACAUCGGAACAUGUCCUGUAGUGGGGGAUAGCCCGGCGAAAGCCGGAUUAAUACCGCAUACGAUCCACGGAUGAAAGCGGGGGACCUUCGGGCCUCGCGCUAUAGGGUUGGCCGAUGGCUGAUUAGCUAGUUGGUGGGGUAAAGGCCUACCAAGGCGACGAUCAGUAGCUGGUCUGAGAGGACGACCAGCCACACUGGGACUGAGACACGGCCCAGACUCCUACGGGAGGCAGCAGUGGGGAAUUUUGGACAAUGGGCGAAAGCCUGAUCCAGCAAUGCCGCGUGUGUGAAGAAGGCCUUCGGGUUGUAAAGCACUUUUGUCCGGAAAGAAAUCCUUGGUCCUAAUAUGGCCGGGGGAUGACGGUACCGGAAGAAUAAGCACCGGCUAACUACGUGCCAGCAGCCGCGGUAAUACGUAGGGUGCAAGCGUUAAUCGGAAUUACUGGGCGUAAAGCGUGCGCAGGCGGUUUGCUAAGACCGAUGUGAAAUCCCCGGGCUCAACCUGGGAACUGCAUUGGUGACUGGCAGGCUAGAGUAUGGCAGAGGGGGGUAGAAUUCACGUGUAGCAGUGAAAUGCGUAGAGAUGUGGAGGAAUACCGAUGGCGAAGGCAGCCCCCUGGGCCAAUACUGACGCUCAUGCACGAAAGCGUGGGGAGC
rnacentral:rRNA from 1 species